rnacentral:rRNA from 1 species
UACAGAGGGGGCAAGCGUUAUUCGGAAUUAUUGGGCGUAAAGCGCGCGUAGGUGGCUUCGUAAGUCCGUUGUGAAAGUCAAAGGCUCAACCUUUGAAAGCCGAUGGAUACUGCGGAGCUAGAGUACGGAAGAGGCGAGUGGAAUUCCUGGUGUAGCGGUGGAAUGCGCAGAUAUCAGGAGGAACACCAAUAGCGAAGGCAGCUCGCUGGGACGUUACUGACACUGAGGCGCGAAAGCGUGGGGAGCGAACAGG